rnacentral:rRNA from 1 species
AAAUUAACGAAGAUUGCCUCAGUAGCGGCGAGUGAAGCGGCAAUAGCUCAAGUUUAGAAUCUGUAGUCGUCUCGGCUACCGAAUUGUAAUCUAAAGGGGUUAACUAAAGGGGAAGUUGAGGCAUAAGUUCCUUGGAAAAGGACGUCAAAGAGGGUGAAAACCCCGUAUGCAGCCUCCGCUGAACCGACAGUUGGCUUUCUGAGAGUCGGGUUGUUUGGGAUUGCAGCCCUAAAUGGGAGAUAAACUUCUUCUAAGGCUAAAUAUCUAUGGGAAACCGAUAGCGAACAAGUACUGUGAAGGAAAGGUGAAAAGAACUUUGAAAAGAGGGUUAAAAGACUUGAAAUCGUUGAGAAGGAAGCAGUAGAAGUGGAUUUGAAUUAGCUAUAAUGUAAACCAGGUGAGGAACCAUCUUAUUUUGGACACAGUACGUCAAAGGCUGUGCCGAUGUUAAGAAAUGGCACUUUCUGGUCCUAUUAUAGUUAAAGGGCAGAACCAGGUCUUCACUUGUUGGAAUCAGCUAGGGUGACGUGUGCGUCUUAGCAAAACAAUAAGUUGGCCUGAGGAAAAUGAGGUUCUGCCACAACGGCUUCUACUGAC